GGGGCCUGCGUAAGUGGCGCAGCCGCUGCAUGGCGGCCGCUUGGCCACCGCGUCCCCGCGCCGUUUGCUGCCGAGCUGCAGCCCUCACAGAGCUCCAGUGCUAGGGGCUUGCCGUGCGAGCUUCAGGCGUUUUCACAGAAGGCCGCCUUCCGCUUUCGGUUUGUGUGACUCACGGUUCAGAUGACUGGGGGAAAGUGAUCCAUGUAGUAACUCCUGGAACGUGCAGAUGGCAAGUCCAAACACAUGAUCCUGCAGAACUUCCAGCUUCUUUCCAAAGCCAACCUCAUUCCUAAUGCUUUCAACAUAUGUAAGGCUUAAAGGGGGCUGUCAUGUGGGAGUUCUUAUAUUACGUCUUAUCUGGGAUGAAGCUUCUUCAAGGAUUGAAUGCUGAAGGAUUCAGCAGGAUAUAUGGUGUUCCAUAGCUCACACUGGCUUCAGCAGGUGGGAACCAAAGAAGUUUCUGUGCUUGGCUGCUCAUAGCAUCCCUUCACAUGUGCCACACUUUGUCAGCCUCAGAGACCUGCUGCACAAGUACAAUUGAUGAGGGCAGUGAACCAUAAUGAGAGGACAAAAAAAUUGUGAAAUGCCUUCUAUUUUCUAUAUCUCACACUCUCCUUAAAUUCCUUUGCUUGGUAUGGAAGGCACCAUUAUUCGUGUCUGAGAAUGUAGCAGCCCAAUUGUUUGUUUGGUAAAAAAUUUCCCUAAGGAAUCUUUUGUUCAGUCUGUCCCCUUGACUUUACCUACAAAAACCCCACAGUCCCUGUCCCCCUAACAAGAAGAAGAAGAAACAAACAAGCAAAAAACUAACAAAAAACAACCAGCCAAACAAAACAACCAAAAAACCAAAAAGUAAUUUUAUGGCUAGCAUAAAGUAAUUUUAUGGCUUUGCAGUACCACCUUGCAUCCAUCCUUUGUGAUUUGUCCAAAUUCUACCUCCCCAUUGUAUUUUCCUCUUUUCUCUCCUCCACUUGCACUGGACAUCAGUGAUGCUAUAAUUCAAAUCAGGUGGUUUCCAAUUGGCAUAGUGGUAGUUCUGGAUUUGUUCCUGCAAGUCUGAGCUUGCAGAAUCGAUGCAUAAUUCCAGCCUGAGUGCACUGCCACUGGUUAUUUUGAGAUGUCUGUCAAGUGUCCUGAGGAACCCUCUGUGUUGCAGGCUCUGUGGCACAGGAGCUGCUGCACAGAUGCAGCAUCUGGCUGAGAGGAAGAGAGCUGCCCCUUGCUGCACAUAUGGGAGAGCUCAGAAGCUGGGCAGCCUCCUAUGAGAAGAGCCCGCAAAAUGUGGGAAAGGGGAAAGAAGCUUUCCCUUGCUGUUGCUGAGCUGGAAUCACCAGGACUCACCCAGUGUAAUAGGUUGCCUUGCAGUGAUUCCAAGGCUGGGCCCUGCUGGGUGGGGCUUCCAGACAGUGCUGGUGACAGGGUGGCUGGGGCAGUGUGGCACUGCAGCACUCCAGAGCAUCCUGCAUCUCAUCCCCUGCUGGCCGUGGGGCUGGCUUUGUUCAGAGUGCCCCAUUAAUGCAGUGUGGACAUGCAGAUAAUGUGAGCCAAAGCAGCCGUGGAGAGAAUUACUGCAGAGGAGGUAAUGCGCUGACAAUUUGCACCCUAGUUUAUUUCAUGUUAAUUUCUCCAACAUAAUAAUCACCUCCUGCACCUUCUCAUUUUCCCAACAUUUUUUCAGCCUGUGCUUUUUCAGGGGGGCCUUAUUUUUCUCCAAAGCCAUCGUGACCCACCUGCUGAAUGAAGUAGCUGGCACACACAUUUAACCAAAUGUGAAAUGUACUAAUUUUGUUUUUCCUGUGAUAGAAGCCUGUCUCAAGGAGAGCUGUACUGUAAAAAAAAAAGGCCUGAGGAAAAAAAAAAAAAAACAAAGCCCAAACCAUAAACUGAAAAAUACACCUAUAUUUUUAAUUUAAACAUUUUUAUUGGCACUUCUACUGAAGCAGAAUGUUCUUAACAACAAACCCAUUCAUACUGUGCAGAUUCACUUUUAUAGGAAUUGUUUGCAUUGUCUCUUGGAGAAAUGCACUAAUAAUACAUUGGAUAUGUGCCUAAAUUGUACAACAUAGCAUGGAUGGUGUCAGAGCAUUGCAGAAGGCUUUGUAUUUUUUUUGUACAGGAUUUUAAUUUGCAGAAUAUUGGUAUUAAACUUCUGUAUAUCUGUAGAGGUGACUUUGAGUGGCACUGAUUUAACAAUAUUCGCUGAGGCAAGAACAUUCCAACCCUUCUAGACAGUGGUGCACUUUAAACCACCUGGGAGGUCCCUUCUUUUUUCCCUUCCUUUGGAAAAUCCUUUGCAGUAGAUUUCACGGAGUCCUCCAUCUAAUAAAUUAUUUUGCUUUCA